rnacentral:rRNA from 1 species
CGGGGUGAGUAAUGUCUGGGAAACUGCCUGAUGGAGGGGGAUAACUGCUGGAAACGGUAGCUAAUACCGCAUAACGUCGCAAGACCAAAGAGGGGGACCUUCGGGCCUCUUGCCAUCGGAUGUGCCCAGAUGGGAUAGCUAGUAGGUGGGGUAACGGCUCACCUAGGCGACGAUCCCUAGCUGGUCUGAGAGGAUGACCAGCCACACUGGAACUGAGACACGGUCCAG